rnacentral:rRNA from 1 species
UGCCAGCAGCCGCAGUAAUACGGAGGGUGCGUGCGUUAAUCGGAAUUACUGGGCGUAAAGCGUGCGUAGGCGGAUAGUUAAGCGAGAUGUGAAAUCCCGGGGCUCAACCUCGGAACUGCAUUUCGAACUGGCUAUCUAGAGUAUUGUAGAGGGUGGUGGAAUUUCCAGUGUAGCGGUGAAAUGCGUAGAGAUUGGAAGGAACAUCAGUGGCGAAGGCGGCCACCUGGACACAUACUGACGCUGAGGCACGAAAGCGUGGGGAGCGAACAGGAUUAGAUA